rnacentral:rRNA from 1 species
GCAGUGGGGAAUAUUGCACAAUGGGCGCAAGCCUGAUGCAGCCAUGCCGCGUGUAUGAAGAAGGCCUUCGGGUUGUAAAGUACUUUCAGCGAGGAGGAAGGCGUUGAGGUUAAUAACCGCAUCGAUUGACGUUACUCGCAGAAGAAGCACCGGCUAACUCCGUGCCAGCAGCCGCGGUAAUACGGAGGGUGCAAGCGUUAAUCGGA